GCCAGGGGACUACGAGCCAAGCUUAAAACCCAAAGGACUUGACGGUGCCCCAUAUCCCCCUAGAGGAGCCUGUCCUAUAAUCGAUGAUCCCCGUUUGACCUCACCGCUUCUUGCUAAAUCAGCCUGUAUACUUCCGUCGUCAGCUUACCACAUGAGCGAGAUUCAGUUAGCCUAAUGUCCCACUGUAACUUACACCGUCAAUACGUCAGGUCAAAGUGCAGCAAAUGAAGCGGAAAGAGAUUGGCUACACUUUUUAGUAUAAAAAAUACGAAAAACAAAUAAUGCAAAUUUGUUAGAAGGUGGAUUUAGAAGUAAAAAGAAUUCAUCAAAUUCAUUUGAACAAGGCACUGGAGCGUGU
rnacentral:rRNA from 1 species